AUGUAUGUGCAGUAUGUGUAGCUGUAUGUGUAGCUGUAUGUGUAUGUAUGUGCAGUAUGUGUAGCUGUAUAUGCAGUAUGUGCACAUACAUACACAUACAGCUACACAUACUGCACAUACAUA
rnacentral:pre_miRNA from 1 species